rnacentral:rRNA from 1 species
UACGGGGGGGCAAGCGUUACUCGGAAUUAUUGGGCGUAAAGGGCGCGUAGGCGGUCGUGUGCGUCGGAGGUGAAAUCCCCAGGCUUAACCUGGGAACUGCCUCCGAUACGGCAUGGCUUGAGUCCGGGAGAGGGGAGCAGAAUUCCCAGUGUAGCGGUGAAAUGCGUAGAUAUUGGGAGGAAUACCAGUGGCGAAGGCGGCUCCCUGGACCGGUACUGACGCUGAGGCGCGAAAGCGUGGGUAGCAAACAGG